GUCUACGGUCAUACCGCCCUGAAUGUGCCCGUUCUCGUCUGAUCUCGGAAGCAAAGCAGGGUCAGGCCUGGUUAGUCUUGGAUGGGAGACUGCCUGGGAAUACUGGGUGCUGUAGGCU
rnacentral:rRNA from 1 species